AUUGAACGCUGGCGGCAUGCCUUACACAUGCAAGUCGAACGGCAGCACGGGAGUUUGCUCCUGGUGGCGAGUGGCGAACGGGUGAGUAAUACAUCGGAACGUACCCUGAAGUGGGGGAUAACGUAGCGAAAGUUACGCUAAUACCGCAUAUUCUGUGAGCAGGAAAGAGGGGGAUCGCAAGACCUCUUGCUUUAGGAGCGGCCGAUGUCGGAUUAGCUAGUUGGUGAGGUAAAGGCUCACCAAGGCGACGAUCCGUAGCGGGUCUGAGAGGAUGAUCCGCCACACUGGGACUGAGACACGGCCCAGACUCCUACGGGAGGCAGCAGUGGGGGAAUUUUGGACAAUGGGCGCAAGCCUGAUCCAGCCAUGCCGCGUGAGUGAAGAAGGCCU
rnacentral:rRNA from 1 species